rnacentral:rRNA from 1 species
AUUGAACGCUGGCGGAAUGCUUUACACAUGCAAGUCGAGCGGCAGCGCGGUCUUCGGACUGGCGGCGAGCGGCGAACGGGUGAGUAAUACAUCGGAACAUGCCCAGUCGUGGGGGAUAACACUUCGAAAGAAGUGCUAAUACCGCAUACGUCCUGAGGGAGAAAGCGGGGGAUCGCAAGACCUCGCGCGAUUGGAGUGGCCGAUGUCAGAUUAGCUAGUUGGUGGGGUAAAGGCCUACCAAGGCAACGAUCUGUAGCUGGUCUGAGAGGAUGAUCAGCCACACUGGGACUGAGACACGGCCCAGACUCCUACGGGAGGCAGCAGUGGGGAAUUUUGGACAAUGGGGGCAACCCUGAUCCAGCCAUUCCGCGUGAGUGAAGAAGGCCUUCGGGUUGUAAAGCUCUUUCGGCAGGAACGAAACGGUGAGCUCUAACAUAGCUUGCUAAUGACGGUACCUGAAGAAGAAGUACCGGCUAACUACGUGCCAGCCGCCGCAGUAACAC